GAUGAACGCUGGCGGCGUGCCUAAUACAUGCAAGUCGAGCGAACGGACGAGAAGCUUGCUUCUCUGAUGUUAGCGGCGGACGGGUGAGUAACACGUGGAUAACCUACCUAUAAGACUGGGAUAACUUCGGGAAACCGUAGCUAAUACCGGAUAAUAUUUUGAACCGCAUGGUUCAAAAGUGAAAGACGGUCUUGCUGUCACUUAUAGCUGGAUCCCCGCUGCAUUAGCUAGUUGGUAAGGUAACGGCUUACCACGGCAACGAUGCAUAGCCGACCUGUGAGGGUGAUAGGCCACACUAGAAGGGAGACACGGACCAUGCUCCUAAGAGAGGCAGCAGUAGGGAAUCGGACGCAGUAGUCGAAAGCCUGACGGAGCAAGGCCGAGUGAGUGAUGAAGGUCUUCGGAUCGUAAUGAUGUGUUAUGAGGGAAGAACAUAUGUGUAAGGAACUGUGCACAUCGUGACGGUACCUAAUCAGAAAGCCACGGCUAACUACGUG
rnacentral:rRNA from 1 species